GAUGAACGCUGGCGGCGUGCCUAAUACAUGCAAGUCGAGCGAACGGACGAGAAGCUUGCUUCUCUGAUGUUAGCGGCGGACGGGUGAGUAACACGUGGAUAACCUACCUAUAAGACUGGGAUAACUUCGGGAAACCGGAGCUAAUACCGGAUGAUAUUUUGAACCGCAUGGUUCAAAGGUGAAAGACGGUCUUGCUGUCACUUAUAGAUGGAUCCGCGCUGCAUUAGCUAGUUGGUAAGGUAACGGCUUACCAAGGCAACGAUGCAUAGCCGACCUGAGAGGGGGAUCGGCCACACUGGAACUGAGACACGGUCCAGACUCCUACGGGAGGCAGCAGUAGGGAAUCUUCCGCAAUGGGCGAAAGCCUGACGGAGCAACGCCGCGUGAGUGAUGAAGGUCUUCGGAUCGUAAAACUCUGUUAUUAGGGAAGAACAUAUGUGUAAGUAACUGUGCACAUCUUGACGGUACCUAAUCAGAAAGCCACGGCUAACUACGUG
rnacentral:rRNA from 1 species